CAAGAUUGGGUGUCUCAACAUUUCAGUGGUCGACCUCAUACAAACUUUGUUGCUCUGUCUGUAGUGAAACGCGUUCAGGACAGGAAAAGGUUGGAGUCGGACAAAGUGAUCAAUAACGUCAAUGAAGAAGUGAAUGUCGGUCUGACUCCCAAUAUCUUCGUUUCAACGACAGUUGUCUCCCUUACUUCAUGCUCUUCUAUAGUCGUAUUCCUGGAUCAGGGCUUUCCGGGUCAUUGCUUUCCCUACAUGGUUCAAGAUAUUGUUUGCUGUCAUUUAGUCUUGACGAUAUUCUGAAUCAAACCUGUAUACGAUCCUGCUACUGUAUGCUUGCCUCUUCAUUGUCGGUACCAAGACGGAAGUGAUAUGUACUAAUAGAACGGUGACGUGUCCUGACGGGAAUACAUGCUGUCAUUAUCCACGUGGGGGCGUGUCGUGUUGUCCUGAACCUAAUGCGGUGUGUUGUAAAGGUGGAGGUAGAUGUUGUCCGAAAGGAUUUCGCUGUGAUGAUGACUUCCUUACCUGUAUAAAGUAAACCUUUCAAUGUAGCUGUUCAAGCUUACACGUGCUGUGUGUCAUCUUCAAAAUAAAUGUUUUAAAAU